CCUCUAAAAGCACUCUGUGUGGGGAACAUGAGAGCCAGACCAAAGCUCAGAGGAACCCACCUGGACCUCCACCCAGCUCUGUGUCCUUACAGAGUGACGCGUCUAAAGAUGCCAUCUUUGAUUUUAAAGUCUCUGCUGCAGAGAGUGAGUAUCGAUUUGGAACAAGCUGAUUGACAGAGAUCACUGAAGAAAUUAACAGUUCCAUGAACAAUAAGAAGUUAAUGGUUUUUGCUUUUCUUGAUCUUUGCUUUUCUUGACACAAUAAACUGUGAGAUAUUAAAUGAAUAAUUGUAUUUAUUAAAUAAAUAAAUUCUUUUUUAAAUUGUCAUUGUCAUUGUUUUAUAGGGAUUUAGAGGAGUGUGAAUCACAGUGUAUUGUAUGAUGAUGGUCAUAUGUUGUCUGUUUAUGUGUUACACCAAUGAACAUUUACAGUGGCUUGCAAAAGUAUUCGGCCCCCUUGA